rnacentral:rRNA from 1 species
GUAGUGAGGCGAAAUUUUCUUGCACCUGAUGCCGAGGCAAUAUUAAAUAUCCCAAUUCGGCUCAAUGGUGGAGAAGAUGUCCUAGCGUGGGCUCUUGAAAAGUCCGGCGAAUACACUGUGAAAUCAGCUUACCGUGCUCUGGUGACUCGAGACGAGCUGCGUGCUCUAGAGGAAGGGACCGUAAUGGAAACUUCAUCGUCAGAAAAACAGCUGUGGACCGCUCUUUGGAAACUCAAGGUCAUACCUAGAGUUCGGGUUUUC